rnacentral:rRNA from 1 species
CCUACGGGAGGCAGCAGUGGGGAAUCUUUCACAAUGGGCGAAACCCUGAUGCAGCAACGCCGCGUGCGUGAAGAAGUAUUUCGGUAUGUAAAGCUCUUUCAGCAGGGAAGAAAAUGACGGUACCUGACCAAGAAGCCCCGGCUAACUACGUGCCAGCAGCCGCGGUAAUACGUAGGGGGCAAGCGUUAUCCGGAUUUACUGGGUGUAAAGGGAGCGUUGUCGGCAGGGCAAGUCUGGUGUUAAAGUCGGGGGCUCAACCCCCGGACUGUUAUGGAAACUGUCAGGCUGGAGUGCAGGAGAGGUAAGUGGAAUUGCUAGUGUAGGGGUGAAAUGCGUAGAUAUUAGGAGGAACACCAGUGGCGAAGGCGGCUUACUGGACUGUAACUGACGUUGAGGCUCGAAAGCGUGGGGAGCAAACAGGAUUAGAUACCCGAGUAGUC